rnacentral:rRNA from 1 species
UGGGGAAUAUUGCACAAUGGGGGAAACCCUGAUGCAGCGACGCCGCGUGAGCGAAGAAGGUUUUCGAAUCGUAAAGCUCUGUCCUAUGGGAAGAUAAUGACGGUACCAUAGGAGGAAGCCCCGGCUAACUACGUGCCAGCAGCCGCGGUUAUACUUAGGGGGCAAGCGUUGUCCGGAAUCACUGGGCGUAAAGGGUUCGCAGGCGGAAAUGCAAGUCAGCUGUGAAAGGCAAAGGCUCAACCUCUGUAAGCAAUUGAAACUGUAUUUCUUGAGAUGUGAAGAGGAAAGUGGAAUUCCUAUGGUAGCGGUGAAAUGCGUAGAUAUUAGGAAGAAUACCGGUGGCGAAGGCGACUUGCUGGACACAAACUGACGCAGAGGAACGAAAGCGUGGGUAGCAAACAGG